rnacentral:rRNA from 1 species
GAUGAACGCUGGCGGCGUGCCUAACACAUGCAAGUCGAGCGAACGGACGAGAAGUUUUCUUUUCUGAUGUUAGCGGCGGACGGGAGAGUACCACGUGGAUAACCUACCUAUAAGACUGUGAUAACUUCGGGAAACCGGAGCUAAUACGGGAUAAUAUUUUGAACUUAAUGGUUCACAAGUGAAAGACGGUCUUGCUGUCACUUAUAGAUGGACCCGCGCUGCAUUAGCUAGUUGGCAAGGUAACGGCUUACCCAGGCUACGAUGCAUAGCCGACCUGAGAGGGUGAUCGGCCACACUGGAACUGAGGCACGGUACAGACUCCUACGCGAGGCAGCAGUAGGGAAUCUUCCGCGAUGGGGGAAAGCCUGACGGAGCAACGCCGCGUGAGUGAUGAAGGUCUUCGGAUCGUAGAACUCUGUUAUUAGGGAAGAACAUAUGUGUAAGUAACUGUGCACAUCUUGACGGUACCUGAUCAGAAAGCCACGGCUAACUACGUG